CUCUUUUAUCAUCGUGGGAAUUGAUUAUAGCUCUAAAUAAAUAUUGGUUUGUUUUUUGUUAAAAAGAAUCCGUAUAACUUUAUUUGUACGCCCGUAUACUAUGUUUAUUGAAUCAAAUCCGUAUAAAAUACGGACAUUCUGUAUAUUCAUUAUGAUCUCAACGAAAGCUUCACUGAAUCGAUUCUUUAGAACAAACUCGCAUGCGUGUGAAUCAAUUUACUUGAUUCUUGACUCAGAAACAACGGAAACCUUAUUUGUAUUCCUGCUUUCAAAUUGUAAACAAUAAUCACACUUUCAUGCUGCAUGAAAUUAAAGUAUGAACUUUCCUCAAACCAUUACGUGUGCAUGAACUCAAACAAAUGCAGUCCAUGCGUCUGUAUCGAUUCGCUUGAUCGAGUCAUUUUUAUGUUUCGUCCCGAAAAGAUCCGAAUCGUAUGCGAAUCUCAUCACUGUUACGGGAGGAGAGAAGAGAUCCUCUUCCCUCAACACAGAAUGGUUGCUUCUUAAUCAAUUAGUUUCAGCGUUUGUACCUCUCUCUCUGGAUCGAUGUCAUCCUACAGUCUCUUCUCGAGCAAGGCGUGGUGAGAUCGUGCACCAGCUCAUACAAUACACCUGUCAAUCCAGUACCUAAACCUGAUGGUACCUGGCGUUUUACGCAGGAUUUACGUAAGAUUAAUGAAUUGAUUGUUUCUUCUGUAAUGUCACAGGUUCCUGCUCAUCAUUGCUGUUUUUCCAUUAUUGAUCUCUGUUCUGCCUUUUUUCACGCACAUGAGGAGAUAGCGUUUGGACUCAAGGUUUCAUUGACUCUCCUGCUGUUUUUUCAGCUGUAAUUCAAAUUCAUAACGCACUCUAUGACCUCUCCCUCCCUCAGGACUCUGUGGUCUGUGUGUUCUGGUAUCUGCUGAGUCACCAGAAAUCUGCCAAGACACUGACACUUGCGCCUGCUCCAACAUCUGGCGCACAAGGGCUUUAAGGUUUCCAGGACCAAUGGACACUUAAGUAUUUGAACUUUUGAAGUUUGAACUUUCUCAAGGCUGUCAUUCUAGACACAAAACGCCCUGCAACUAAACAUGCACUGAUGUCUUUUCUGGGUCAGAAAAUAGAUCCCUGACUGCUCUUUAUAUGACAAGCUUCUCUGUUCUGCAAUCUCUCAUCACGAUCCACUGCAACAUCCUUUGACCUGGACUGACACUAUGGUGGUUGCUUAUCACUCCCUCAAAAGCACCCUUUGUUCUGCCCCUGGGGUUACCUGAUCACUUCAAGCCCUUCCACCUCUAUGCCUGUGAACAGCUGUUGGCCGGGAGCAUGAGGGGGGGGAAAUGCAUCAUUGUGCGUUUUUAUCCAAAACAUUAGACAUUGUUGCUCAAGGCUUACCUGCGUGUCUGGGGGCUGUCUCUGCAUGUGCUUUGAUGGUUUUAGAUGCGGAAAAAUUGGUUUUGUCUCACCCACAGAUCUUGCACUCGUCACAUCAAGUUAAACAGGUGUUGCAAAAUUUAUAGACCCAUUAAAUUAAUUUAUCAGUAAUUUAAUUGAUAAUUAAAUUAACAUAUGACUAUUUAUUCUCUGUUCUACUAACAAUCUCGAAAUUCAUGUCACAUCCUCUUUUGAUAAUGUAGGUCACGCUCUCGCACGCCUCCUUAAUUCUCGGGAUGACAUUGAUAUUGCCUGUCCAAAAAUCGUACAUACUACUAGUAUCAGGUCUGAUCUCUCCUCCAGCCCUCUAGGGAUGGGGGAAGUACUCUUUGUUGAUGGUUCUUGUUCUAAAUGGUUCUUGUUUUAUAAUUUAUAAUAUUUAUCAUACCUCUGUGGUUACUCUGUGUGUUCACUGCCUGAUAUUGUGCAUGAGGCAUACGCUCUUCCUUUCUCAUUUGAUUUUUGUCAUCUUGAUUGUGGACAAAUUCUCUAAAUGGGUAGAAGUUUUUUUCCUGUUCUCGAGAGAACACGAAGGUAGUUACUCGUAUUCUGGCAAAAGAAAUAGUACCUAGUUAUAAUUAUAAUAAUACAUUUUAUCUAUAAGCGCCUUUCAAGGUACCCAAGGACACUGGACAGUAAAAAAAGAAAAACAAACAAUAAAAGCAGAACAAUAAAAUAACAAUAAAAUAAUCAGAAAUCAAUAAUAAUAAUUGUUAUAGUUAUGGGGUUCCAGACGCCAUAGACUCAGACAAAGGUACCCGUUUCACCUCAAAAGUCACACAAAACCUUUGUAAGUAUCUCUAAACUAAACUGGUGUUUUCACAUUCCUCAAUCCUCUGGUAUCGUAGAACGUACUAAUCGAACAUUGAAAGACAAAUUAAUUAAGGUCAUGCAGGACACAGGUUUGGCUCUGUAAUCCAUAAUUCAUUCUGGCUGAAAUUCGUGUGACACCAAGAAAUUAUUUUUGGAAGACCUUUCCCUCUCCCCUGGAAGAAGGGAACUCCGGCUCCGGGUACCUCUGAUUUGAAAAUGCAUAUGGAUGAGUAUUCUGCAGCCCUUAUAGAUAAGUUGCAUAAAAUUUGUACCAAGGUCAAUAAUACAAUAUUAUCUCCACCACACACCCCUUUCACGUGGGAGACAAGUGCUGGUGUGACUUUUUAAAGUAACGAUUUGGACAAUUGGGAAAACCUAGAUAUAGUGGGCCUGCAGACAUAGUCGCCAUUACUUUUACUGCUGUUUUAACUGAUCUUUUUCCACAGUGGAUCCAUGCCACGCGAUUGAAGAAGGCUCCAUAACAAAGUUGUGUUACAAUGACAAGUUUGCUACUAACGUUUUCUCUGUGUCCCUUUCCAGUCUCUGUUCUCUCUUUCUGUCUCUCUAUUUCUGAGCUCUACACAGAUUCGACUGAGAAUCCUCAAGACGUGAACAAAGAGGGGAAGAGAUCGUGUGCCCCGUUUGGGACCAAUCAUCCUCACUACAAUCAUGACAGUCCUUGUCACGGGUUUCGUGACUUCAUUGUUGCUCGGGGCAAGGCUACCCGCCCGAGCCUUCGUGACUGCUUCAUCUUUGCUUGGGGCAGGGUUACCCGCCCGAGCCUUCUGGACCACUUCAUUGCUCGGAGCAGGGUUACCCGCUCGAGCUGGACUUCGAGACAACAUCUGGCAAUUCACUAGCUGGACAAGUGCACACCACACGAAUGUGUUAUGUCUUUCAUCUGAUGCCGUUUUCUACUAUUAUUACACAUCUCUAUGCUCUGAAACUCUGUAUUCUUACAGGACUCUGUUCUCACUAUAGGUCGAUAUGCCUUCUAAUUUCAUUUUCCCUCACUGUUUUAGAACAAAUUACUCUGAAGAAAGUAGCGUGUAUUUGGGACAAAUUAAGAGGUUUUGAGUUUCUCUAAGCUCCGGUGAGGUGGGACGAGGGCUGAUCGGGCAUGCCCGCCCUCUGAGCACCAAUAUAUGUCAAGAAGGGCAAAGAUUAACUCGAUUAAUUCUCGAUGUAAUCACAUAUAUGAUCAUGAGGUGAUAAUGAUCAUAUAUGAUCCUAGGAUUUGAUAAUAGUGAUACUAUUAUCAAAGGGGGGGAUUGUUAGGUUUUAUUAUUAUGUAGGUUUAUAAAUAAUUGUAAUUCUUGACCAAGAAGGCAGUAAUUUAUUUGUGACAAAAUUAAGGAUUAAUUUCUGUUCAGUUAAAAUGACCUUAUGUCUCGGCUGGACAUAGUUUGGGAACAUUUUGCUUAUUUUGAUUUGAUCAGAGAUGUGUCUGAACGGCGCCAAGGUCUGCAAUGAUGCCACACACACCCACAGCUGCAUAUCCAACGUGUAUUUGGGAUUAAAGUUAAAUUUAAAGCCAUGAUUCAUGUUAGUUUUAUAGUUUAUAGUUUUGUAUUAGCCUUAUUGCUGCACAAAGUGUUAAGACUUUAUAUGGGAGAGCUUUUUAAGAUCCUUUAUUAUUUUGGACUAUUGCAUAUACUAUGGCAGUGAUUUAGAUUUGUUAGAUCUAAGAUGCAUUCAAUGAUUUAAGUUAGUUUUAUAGUUUUAAGUUAGUUUUAUAAUUACAGAAUAUAAUUUAGGAUUGUUAAGACUUUAUGAUUCUAAUGUUAAGACUUUGAGUUUAAUCCUGAAUCCUGUUUGACCUUCCUGAUGUAGCACUUCUUUGUUUGUUUCGUAUGACUGUCUUUGUUUAGGUUUGUUCUUAUUUUUUGUUUACUUUCUUAUAACAUAUCUUUGUUGAAAAAUUCCAUCACCAUCUUAAGUACAUAUUGCCCUAUGUUAUAUCUGACCUGAAGGGGUGUACGUAAGCAAUGACCUUUAAAAUCUGUCUGUACCUUGCUAUCAUGUCAUAUCAUCAGAAAUAUGUCAUUAUGUUAUGAUUUAAACACACACAUGCAUCUGAACAGUGAUGUAAUUAAAAUGUGACUUGCUCACACACAGACACAGAUAUCAAAAUGAUGUCACUCACUCACACCCCCCCAUAGACACACACAUACACACAUUCAUGCACACACACACACACACAGAUAUCAAACAGUGAUGUCAUUUACACACAGAUAACACUCACAUAUAAUAACCCUCUGUAUUCUUGUCCAAUUGGGGGAACUUGCGAAUAAAGAUGUGAACUACA